rnacentral:rRNA from 1 species
CCUACGGGUGGCAGCAGUGAGGAAUAUUGGUCAAUGGGCGCGAGCCUGAACCAGCCAAGUAGCGUGAAGGAUGACUGCCCUACGGGUUGUAAACUUCUUUUAUAAAGGAAUAAAGUGAGGCACGUGUGCCUUUUUGUAUGUACUUUAUGAAUAAGGAUCGGCUAACUCCGUGCCAGCAGCCGCGGUAAUACGGAGGAUCCGAGCGUUAUCCGGAUUUAUUGGGUUUAAAGGGAGCGUAGAUGGGUUGUUAAGUCAGUUGUGAAAGUUUGCGGCUCAACCGUAAAAUUGCAAUUGAUACUGGCAGUCUUGAGAAGAGUUGAGGUAGGCGGAAUGCGUGGUGUAGCGGUGAAAUGCUUAGAUAUCACGAAGAACUCCGAUUGCGAAGGCAGCAUACUAAACUGCCACUGACAUUGAUGCACGAAAGUGUGGGUAUCGAACAGGAUUAGAUACCCUUGUAGUC